UACAGAGGGUGCGAGCGUUAAUCGGAAUUACUGGGCGUAAAGCGCGCGUAGGCGGCUUUGCAAGUCGGGUGUGAAAUCCCCAGGCUUAACCUGGGAACUGCAUUCGAGACUGCAUUGCUAGAGUAUGGGAGAGGGAAGUGGAAUUUCCGGUGUAGCGGUGAAAUGCGUAGAUAUCGGAAGGAACAUCAGUGGCGAAAGCGGGUCUCUGGGCAACAACUGACGCUGAGGAGCGAAAGCGUGGGGAGCGAACAGG
rnacentral:rRNA from 1 species